rnacentral:rRNA from 1 species
CCUACGGGAGGCAGCAGUGAGGAAUAUUGGUCAAUGGACGAGAGUUUGAACGAGCCAAGUAGCGUGAAGGAUGACUGCCCUAUGGGUUGUAAACUUCGUUUAUAUGGGAAUAAAAUGUUCCACGUGUGUGAUUUUGUAUGUACCAUAUGAAUAAGGAUCGGCUAACUCCGUGCCAGCAGCCGCGGUAAUACGGAGGAUCCGAGCGUUAUCCGGUUUUAUUGGGUUGAAAGGGAGCGUAUGUUGAUUGUUAAGUCAGUUGUGAAAGUUUGCGGCGCAACCGUAAAAUUGAAGUGGAAACUGGCAGUCUUGAGUACAGUAGAGGUGGGCGGAAUUCGUGGUGUAGCGGUGAAAUGCUUAGAUAUCACGAAGAACUCCGAUGGCGAAGGCAGCUUACUGGACUGCAACUGACACUGAGGCUCGAAAGUGUGGGUAUCAAACAGGAUUAGAUACCCCUGUAGUC